CACACUCCAAGCGAAGCUUGAUGUUGGACGAUGCGGUCCUCUGAGGAUCGCACGUCUGGAACGCGUGGGCGCCCCCCGCCGGAACGUGAACGUAGCAAGACGUCAGUCAAAAUCGUUCAGCUAGUUUCUGACGGAGGGUAGCCUUAUCUCUUUUACAAGAA
rnacentral:misc_RNA from 1 species